CUCUUACCUCUUGGAGAUCGAGAGGAAAGACGAUCCAACUCGGAGAUGGGAGAAAUCUCACUCCUUGGGUCUCCAAGCUUCAAAACUUGCUCUAAGCUCACAAAUCUUCAAAAACCAAGCAAACACUUGUUAAAACUUGAAAGAUUGGAGGAAAAUCGUCAAAAACGACCAUGGGAGAGCAUGGACUCACCGUUGGCCGAAAAUG
rnacentral:lncRNA from 1 species